AGCCUUUUACUUAAAGAAACAAUCGCCAUCUGUAGGCAAAAACUGGAAUUUAUGACGAAUACCUGUUUAACACAUGUGUAAAAUACUGCUCUUUGUGCGGUUAAAGAUGACAUAGCUACGUUUUCGAUAUUCCUCCUUUCCGAUACACCCUUCCAUUACGAUGUACAUAUACAUAUUUGAUAAAGUGCUUCCUUUAUUAGUCAUAGUGAACGCCUCAUUUCUGACAGUAUAAAAACAAAUUACAUUAUAUUGAGUUACCGUUGUUAUGUAUUUUAUUAAAAAACAUUUUACUAUAUUUUUGGAGUUUUUUAACACUUAAAUAUAUUUCUAUGCAAAUUUUCUAUGCAUAUUUUCUAUAAUAGAAAAUAUGCAUAUAAAAUAUGCGUUCGUCAUAUUUUUGAAGGCAUCGCAGAUUGACUACAAUUAUUUUUGCAUAAAUUGAGAUUGGCUAUAAUAGUUUUCGCAUAAAUUCAGCCAAUCUGCCAUGUCUUUGAUUAUGAAGAUGGUUGUUAAAUUUAAAAUAGUAUCAUGCUCUAAAUACUAAGCAGAAAAACCACUGAGAUAAUUAUAAUUGAUUUAAUUUACAAGCACUAAUUAUAUAUGGUUCCAUCAAAUGGUGCCCGCAUCCUCCAGUGAAGCGAUUCUAAAGCAACAAUUUUGUAAAUAAAAAAGAUACAAAACACAUGAUCACGAUGUGUCAAAUGUCGUAGGAUGGCUUUUGGGCAACUGGUGGUUUUUGUGGUUUCUUCGCAAUCGGUGGCGCUUUUCCCUCAGAAAAACAUUGCGUGGUGUUUCGCUUGACUUCGGAACCUCUUAGAGAAGGUGAAAAUGAAGGAUCAAUUUUAUUUUUUAGCGUUGUGAGAACGGGCUGCUCAAUUUUUAGUCUGUUAGUUCGCGAUUGAGAAGUUGAUGAUGUAAUAACAUUUGAAUCUUGAAAAUUUCUAUUCUGAGCAACAACUGCAGCUGCCUGUUGAGCUAUAGAAGCCAUAGCCGUCUUAGAUGGUUUUUCAACCAUUUUUGUAACAGGAAGAGUCGUUUUAUCUGAACUAAUAAUGUGCUGUUGGUUUAUUGAAUUACUUUUUGGUGAAACUGGGACAAAAGUUUGGGAUUUAGUAGCAGCCACAGUUCUAGCGGAGGUAUUUAAGUUUGAAGAUGAAUCUUUGGAAUCUUUAGAUACUUCAUCAUCUACAGACAUGGACAUUAAAACUUUGGUGGUACUUGGGGAUGCAAGUUGAUGUGGGUUAUCAUCCAAUUCAGCUGAAGUUAGAGAAACUUGCUUUCGAGGAAAAGAUACGUUGGGCGAAGAAGAAAUAGAUUUUUUUUGAUGUAAUAAUGGUUUAGGCUGAAUAGAAGGACGGUUGUAGGCGGGAUUAUUUGGGCUGGAUUUUGUUCUUUUUACAGGAACGUGUUUGGAAUAAUUGUCAUAUUUAAAAGCCAUUGGACUUGCAUCAGAUUUUUUAGAAUAGACUGAUUGCUUGGAAGAA